CAUUUUAUGUACAAAAAAUAUUUCGUCCCCAAAUAUAUAAAUUAGUGACAACUUUGCUUUUGCAAAAAUAAUUUACAAUUUGUAGUUGAAAACUAUUAUAUCGUCGCCAAUUUUUAUUUUUUUUACAAUGCUAGUUAAAAUUAUCAUGAACCGUAAAUAGAUAAUUCUCGGACACGAAAUAUUUUUGUCACUAAAUGUGGUCAAUUUAUGAUGAACAUUUGAUGACGUCAAAAUCUGUAGUUGUACUAUGUAUAAUAAUUUCCCAUUAAUUCAAGAAUUUAUCAUUUACUAAAUGAAAAUAACAUAAUAAAACAUGGAAGGUAACAACAAAAUUCUCACCCAUGAUCACAUAAUUAAGAACUAGUACUAUAUUGAGAUAAUAUCUCAUUACAAACUCCUUAAUAUAAAACACAACAAUAAUUAAAAUUCAUUCAACAACAUGAGGUCAAAUAGAAAUACAAUAAUUAGUAAUAAACUACGGAAAAAAAAAUAUGCUGCUUCCUCAAACGCUAAUGUAAUCACUUGUCUUGUAACUUUGCUCUUGAAUAAAUUUAAACUUUCAUGUACCUGUGGAAGAAAAAAAUAAUUUUAGUACAUUUGAUAACAUAAUUUAGCAAAAAACAUAUUUUCAAACAUUAGUCAUAUCAUAUUUUAAUUUGUGAAGAAAAUAAUAGAACGACAAAUUAGCACUAGCCGGUAGAAAGGUACUUAGUCAAAGUUAGGCGGUAAAUAUUUAAUUCUUCUUUGACUCCAAAUAACCACAAGAAUUAAGACAGAGAUAUGAAAUUAAGAUUAACUAAUCACUCAAAAAUUAAUGAAUAAUAAACAAAUUUCUUCAUACCUCUGCAAUAGAAUUAAAUCAAUAAGAACCCACGAAUACGUACACAUAAUAUAUCAUCUCGAGAAACCCAAAUUUUUAUUGCCCUAUAAUUGAAAGAAAAAGAUAUUCCGUAUGAGAGAUGCAACAGAAAAAAAUUGAAGAAUAAUUAAUAUUUUUUAACUUAGAUUGAGGAUUUGUACCAACGCAAAGGAGGCGCCAGAAGAGGCUUUGCGUCUUAAAACGCCCAUCACGCAAUUUGAUCUUUUAUGUUAUUAAAUCAACAAAAGAAUUCGAAGAAAAUUAAACAUUACAGAAUAUAAAGGAUUUGUAUGUGUGAAAGAGACAGAAAUGAUAAAUUAAUGGAGGUAGGUAAUAUAGAUCUAAGUGGUGCAAUAAUUUGAUUAGGGAGAUGAAUAUCACAAAGUGUUGGGAGAGAAAAGAGGGAGAAUUGAGAAAUGAGGAGGCGUCAGUUCUUAUUAAAAAGAGGUGAUUGGGAACACAAAAAAGAAAAGGAGGGAAACUUGCCGCUAUUUUUUU
rnacentral:lncRNA from 1 species